CUACGGGACGCUGCAGUGGGGAAUAUUGCACAAUGGAGGGAACUCUGAUGCAGCAACGCCGCGUGGAGGAUGACGCAUUUCGGUGUGUAAACUCCUUUUAUAUAGGAAGAUAAUGACGGUACUAUAUGAAUAAGCACCGGCUAACUCCGUGCCAGCAGCCGCGGUAAUACGGAGGGGUGCAAGCGUUACUCGGAAUCACUGGGCGUAAAGCGCAUGCAGGCGGUUAAAUAAGUUGGAAGUGAAAUCCUAUGGCUCAACCAUAGAACUGCUUCCAAAACUGUUUAACUAGAGUCUGGGAGGGGAAGAUGGAAUUAGUAGUGUAGGGGUAAAAUCCGUAGAGAUUACUAGGAAUACCAAAAGCGAAGGCGAUCUUCUGGAACAGUACUGACGCUGAGAUGCGAAAGCGUGGGGAGCAAACAGGAUUAGAUACCCCAGUAGUC
rnacentral:rRNA from 1 species